UGGGGGAAUAUUGCACAAUGGGCGAAAGCCUGAUGCAGCGACGCCGCGUGAGCGAAGAAGUAUCUCGGUAUGUAAAGCUCUAUCAGCAGGGAAGAAAAUGACGGUACCUGACUAAGAAGCCCCGGCUAACUACGUGCCAGCAGCCGCGGUAAUACGUAGGGGGCAAGCGUUAUCCGGAUUUACUGGGUGUAAAGGGAGCGUAGACGGAGAGGCAAGUCUGAUGUGAAAGCCCGGGGCUCAACCCCGGGACUGCAUUGGAAACUGUACUGCUAGAGUGCAGGAGAGGUAAGCGGAAUUCCUAGUGUAGCGGUGAAAUGCGUAGAUAUUAGGAGGAACACCAGUGGCGAAGGCGGCUUACUGGACUGUAACUGACGUUGAGGCUCGAAAGCGUGGGGAGCAAACAGGAUUAGAUACCCUGGUAGU
rnacentral:rRNA from 1 species